rnacentral:tmRNA from 3 species
CCCCUUGUGAAAAGGGGGGCAUUUGCCCUAUAUAGGGGCUGUCGGGGCAACCCGACUACGGCGCUAAACUGCGUGACAGAAUAGGCUUUACGGACCCGGGGGCGGUACCCGGCGGCUCCACCAAAUUUAUCGGUUGUCCGACUCAGACAAUCUUCGUGGGGCCGAAAUAGGAUCGACGUGAGCAGUAAAAGUCAAUGUGGGCGCUCGGCAUGGUACCACCGCAUCGGGCCAAUGUUUGUAAAUGCAAACGACAACAAUGCUCCGGUUGCUGUUGCCGCCUAAGCGGUACUAGCACCAAAGCGAAAUUCCGGUUGCCGGGAGCGGUAAUUUGGUGGGGGACGGGGCACCUAGCAACAGAACGCCCCACU